rnacentral:lncRNA from 1 species
ACUGCCAUAUUCCUGACUUGGUAAAGGACAUUUGAAGAAACAAUGGUGGGUUGAACCUUGUUUUACGGGUAGCCAAACGUCCUGCUGACAUGUUUAAAUAUAUCGCUAAAAAGAUAACAUUACAUGAUAGGAAUUCAGUACAAGCAUACGAAAGAAUACUCCGCAUAGAGAACUGCAUUAAUCAAUAAUAUAAUGGUACAUUACAAC